rnacentral:rRNA from 1 species
UUUCCCGGUUGAUCCUGCCGGACCUGACUGCUAUCGGAUUGGUACUAAGCCAUGCGAGUCGUUGUAGCAAUACAAGGCGGACGGCUCAGUAACACGUAGUCAACCUAACCUAUGGACGUGGAUAACCUCGGGAAACUGAGAAUAAACCGCGAUAGAUCAUUAUGCCUGGAAUGGCUUAUGGUUCAAACAAUUUAUUGCCGUAGGAUGGGACUGCGGCCUAUCAGCUUGUUGGUGAGGUAAUGGCCCACCAAGGCUAUAACAGGUACGGGCUCUGAGAGGAGAAGCCCGGAGAUGGGUACUGAGACACGGACCCAGGCCCUAUGGGGCGCAGCAGGCGAGAAACCUUAGCAAUGUGCGAAAGCACGACUAGGUUAAUCCGAGUGAUUUCUGUUGAAGAAAUCUUUUGUCAGUCGUAAAACCACAGACGAAUAAGGGGUGGGCAAGUCUGGUGUCAGCCGCCGCGGUAAUACCAGCACCUCGAGU